CUUUCAAGUCCUUUUUUCUUUUUUCUGUUUUCCUGGUACUUGCUAAGUGGGACCUGCCUCGCCAUCAAAUACAGGGUUUUGAUUGAACACGACAUGACUGUCAGCCGUGUUUCUGAAAAGACUAGCAGGGCUUGGCUCCCAAGUCACUAUACAGGGGUAUAACUUCAGAGCAUUUCCGAGACAGUGAAAGUGCCAGGCACGGCAUGGAGUCAACUGUAAGGGCCGCUCAACAAGCACGUACUGCUCACAGGGCGAAAGGGCAGAAGGUGGAGAGGAGCCCAGGGUGCUCUUACCAAAAGCAACUGAAGAGUUCUUGCUUUAUGUGCCCCCGCCACACGGAAGGCAACCUGGGCCCCAAACCCGGCAACAAAAAGGCAGCCCAGGUAGGCUCAUUCCUGCCCUGGAGUGAACGAGAAUCCCUCCGGCACUGGAGGGGCCUGGCAGUCCCGGCAAGCGGAGCAGACUGGGAGCCCCGCUGGUGAAAAAAAGUACAGCCGAGGGAAAUGCUCUCCUUUUCUGCAGAGCCUGGGACGCUCAUCCCCACCAGAGACACUGGGCUGGGGGGUGGUGCUGGCAAGAGGGGCUCUGACACCACGAGAAGCCUGGCCCAGGAAGCCUCUUUGUCCCCAUGGGCCUGAAACUCCAUUCCCCCACCCAGAGACAGGGAUAGCCAGGUGACAGUGACAGUGACAAAAGAGAUCCUGCCUCAGCAAGUGCCUGGCCUAACGAGCCUCUUUGUCCCCAUGGGCCUGAAACUCCAUUCCCCCACCCAGAGACAGGGAUAGCCAGGUGACAGCAACAAGAGAGAUCCUGCCUCAGCAAGUGCCUGGCCUAACAAGCCUGUCUGUCCCCAUGGGCCUGAGACUCCCCUACCCAACUAAGAGACACCCAGCAGCCCCAGUCUGGGGAAACCCCUUCCCCUGCGACAGGCAGCACCAACAGGGGCCUAUGGGAGCCCCAGCAGCACCAGAUAACCAAACAGGCCCAAAUAACAUUGCAAAGGCUGAAAAUUAAACUGUCAUUGAAACCACAGCCCAGCAAAGUAGGC
rnacentral:lncRNA from 1 species